rnacentral:rRNA from 1 species
UACGAAGGGUGCAAGCGUUGUUCGGAUUUACUGGGCGUAAAGCGCGCGCAGGCGGAUCAGCAAGUCAGAUGUGAAAUCUCGGGGCUCAACCCCGAAACUGCGUCUGAAACUACUAAUCUAGAGUAUCGGAGGGGGAUGGGGAAUUUCCUGUGUAGGGGUAAAAUCCGUAGAGAUAGGAAGGAACACCAGUGGCGCAAGCGCCAUCCUGGACGAUAACUGACGCUGAGGCGCGAAAGCGUGGGGAGCAAACAGG